rnacentral:lncRNA from 1 species
CUCUCCAUCAGAAAGUCAGAAACAUUGACUGAAGCAUAGUCAUCAGUGGGCUGCGGAUUCUCCAAGGCUCCUCUGCACAGCCUCUGCCCUGGAGGUAGUGGGAGGGCAUUCCCAAACAGUCUCUCCUUCCCCUGAAGUGGGGAAGGAGGGUACAUGAGUCUCAUUCUAAUUCCUCCUCUCUUAAUCUUGAUUUUGUUUUUCUUUUUUGCCUUAGAUGAUGGUACUCCUUCCAGCCCAGGAUUUUUGCUUCAGAGGCACCUGCUGCAACUCAUUUUUGCGGAUGAAGAGUUUGAGGCUUCAGAUGAGGUUCUCUAAUGUAAAUCAAUGGCAUUGAAGUCCACAAUUAAUGGCCUCCCUGUAUUCAUCCCCUUUGCAAAGUGACCUUGCAGAUUCUUCCAUCAAGAGGUAAGUCUAUUGCCUUACUCCCUUAAUCUGGGCUAAACCUUGUGCCUUGUUUUGGUCAAUAGAAUGUGACAGAAGAGCUAAGGUGCCACUUUUAAGCUUAGGCUUUAGGCAGUCAUGAAUGCUUCUGUUUUUUCUUUUGAAACCAUACCACUGCCAUGUGAAUAAGCCUAGGCCAACUUGUGAAGGAUAAGAGACUAUGUGGAAGAAAGUCCCAUUAUUCCAUCUAGAAGCCAGCCCAGAGUUAGAUGAUCCUUAAAUGUGUGAGACAGUCCACCCAAGACCAGAACAGCUGCCUACUAGAC